GGGAAACGGAGCUGUUGCUCCACGAGGAGACCGAGAUCUAGAUCACAAGACAGGCUCGAGAGCGUCUCCACCAUGUUCCGCAAACAUGAGUAGAUAAACACUCCAGUUCAACAACAGCAAGCCUGCUAGUGACCCAAACCACGCAACGUUUUGGGGAUGAGCCCCGAAGCAUCAUCCCUGGGACUCCAC
rnacentral:lncRNA from 1 species